GGCAUAGCGCAGUCUGGUAGCGCAUCGGCUUUGGGAGCCGAGGGUCGGGGGUUCAAAUCCCUCUGCC
rnacentral:tRNA from 1 species